CCGGACUAAAUCAAACAACAUUACUUGGAUCAAAGUGCAGUGUCCGAUACAGCGAAACAGUUCAGAUUGCGGAUACUAUGUUUUGAGGUUUAUGAAAGAAAUCCUUCAAGCGAAUCAAUUAGAUAUUCCAAUCACGUACUUUGACGACUUCUAUGCUGCUUCUUACACGAGACUUAAGUUGGAAGAAAUCAAAGAGGAUUUGUGUCAAUUUUAUAUUCAUCAGCUACUCAUGUAGGAUUUGUGUCGAUUUGAAGUAUAAUAUUAUAGUACUCUAGGAUGGUUACUAACUUUGUUCAUACUGUUGCCAAUAUUUGAAGUAUAAUAUUGUUGAUGUUACUGAUUUAGUUUGUUUGACAUGAGUUAGUUACAUGUGAAACUUUCUGUAUUCAUACUUUACAUGAUUUAGUUUG